rnacentral:rRNA from 1 species
UACGUAGGGUGCGAGCGUUAAUCGGAAUUACUGGGCGUAAAGCGUGCGCAGGCGGGCUUUUAAGCCAGACGUGAAAUCCCCGGGCUUAACCUGGGAAUGGCGUUUGGGACUGGGAGUCUGGAGUGCGGCAGAGGAGACUGGAAUUCCUGGUGUAGCAGUGAAAUGCGCAGAUAUCAGGAGGAACACCGGUGGCGAAGGCGGGUCUCUGGGCAGUAACUGACGCUGAGGAGCGAAAGCGUGGGGAGCGAACAGG